rnacentral:rRNA from 1 species
UACGGGGGGGGCAAGCGUUGUUCGGAAUUACUGGGCGUAAAGGGUUCGUAGGUGGCCAACUUAGUCAGACGUGAAAUCCCUCAGCUUAACUGGGGAACUGCGUCUGAUACUGGAUGGCUCGAGUGCAGGAGAGGAACGCGGAAUUCCAGGUGUAGCGGUGAAAUGCGUAGAUAUCUGGAGGAACACCGGUGGCGAAGGCGGCGUUCUGGACUGCAACUGACACUGAGGAACGAAAGCCAGGGGAGCAAACGGGG